rnacentral:rRNA from 1 species
GAUGAACGCUGGUGGCGUGCCUAAUACAUGCAAGUCGAGCGAACAGACGAGGAGCUUGCUCCUCUGACGUUAGCGGCGGACGGGUGAGUAACACGUGGAUAACCUACCUAUAAGACUGGGAUAACUUCGGGAAACCGGAGCUAAUACCGGAUAAUAUAUUGAACCGCAUGGUUCAAUAGUGAAAGACGGUUUUGCUGUCACUUAUAGAUGGAUCCGCGUCGCAUUAGCUAGUUGGUAAGGUAACGGCUUACCAAGGCGACGAUGCGUAGCCGACCUGAGAGGGGGGUCGGCACCACUGGAACGGAGACACGGUCCAGACCACUACGGGAGGCAGCGGUAGGGAAUCUUCCGCAAUGGGCGAAAGCCAAACGGAGCAAAGCGGCGUGGGGGAUGAAGGUCUUCGGAUCGUAAAACUCUGUUAUUAGGGAAGAACAAAUGUGUAAGUAACUAUGCACGUCUUGACGGUACCUAAUCAGAAAGCGACGGCUAACUACGUG